rnacentral:tRNA from 1 species
AGGGAAGUAGCCCCGCUUAGCGGGGCACUACGUUCGGGACGUAGGGGUCGCUGGUUCGAAUCCAGUCAUCCCGA